GCUGGCGGCGUGCCUAAUACAUGCAAGUCGAACGAACUCUGGUAUUGAUUGGUGCUUGCAUCAUGAUUUACAUUUGAGUGAGUGGCGAACUGGUGAGUAACACGUGGGAAACCUGCCCAGAAGCGGGGGAUAACACCUGGAAACAGAUGCUAAUACCGCAUAACAACUUGGACCGCAUGGUCCGAGCUUGAAAGAUGGCUUCGGCUAUCACUUUUGGAUGGUCCCGCGGCGUAUUAGCUAGAUGGUGGGGUAACGGCUCACCAUGGCAAUGAUACGUAGCCGACCUGAGAGGGUAAUCGGCCACAUUGGGACUGAGACACGGCCCAAACUCCUACGGGAGGCAGCAGUAGGGAAUCUUCCACAAUGGACGAAAGUCUGAUGGAGCAACGCCGCGUGAGUGAAGAAGGGUUUCGGCUCGUAAAACUCUGUUGUUAAAGAAGAACAUAUCUGAGAGUAACUGUUCAGGUAUUGACGGUAUUUAACCAGAAAGCCACGGCUAACUACGUGCCAGCAGCCGCGGUAAUACGUAGGUGGCAAGCGUUGUCCGGAUUUAUUGGGCGUAAAGCGAGCGCAGGCGGUUUUUUAAGUCUGAUGUGAAAGCCUUCGGCUCAACCGAAGAAGUGCAUCGGAAACUGGGAAACUUGAGUGCAGAAGAGGACAGUGGAACUCCAUGUGUAGCGGUGAAAUGCGUAGAUAUAUGGAAGAACACCAGUGGCGAAGGCGGCUGUCUGGUCUGUAACUGACGCUGAGGCUCGAAAGUAUGGGUAGCAAACAGGAUUAGAUACCCUGGUAGUCCAUACCGUAAACGAUGAAUGCUAAGUGUUGGAGGGUUUCCGCCCUUCAGUGCUGCAGCUAACGCAUUAAGCAUUCCGCCUGGGGAGUACGGCCGCAAGGCUGAAACUCAAAGGAAUUGACGGGGGCCCGCACAAGCGGUGGAGCAUGUGGUUUAAUUCGAAGCUACGCGAAGAACCUUACCAGGUCUUGACAUACUAUGCAAAUCUAAGAGAUUAGACGUUCCCUUCGGGGACAUGGAUACAGGUGGUGCAUGGUUGUCGUCAGCUCGUGUCGUGAGAUGUUGGGUUAAGUCCCGCAACGAGCGCAACCCUUAUUAUCAGUUGCCAGCAUUAAGUUGGGCACUCUGGUGAGACUGCCGGUGACAAACCGGAGGAAGGUGGGGAUGACGUCAAAUCAUCAUGCCCCUUAUGACCUGGGCUACACACGUGCUACAAUGGAUGGUACAACGAGUUGCGAACUCGCGAGAGUAAGCUAAUCUCUUAAAGCCAUUCUCAGUUCGGAUUGUAGGCUGCAACUCGCCUACAUGAAGUCGGAAUCGCUAGUAAUCGCGGAUCAGCAUGCCGCGGUGAAUACGUUCCCGGGCCUUGACACACCGCCCGUCACACCAUGAGAGUUUGUAACACCCAAAGUCGGUGGGGUAACCUUUUAGGAACCAGCCGCCUAAGGUGG
rnacentral:rRNA from 1 species